AAGAGAAGAAGACAUGACGUGGCAAUUAAAAUUCAUUAAGAAAAAGUAAUAAUUAAAAUAUUUAUUAUAUUAUUAAAAAUAAUGACGUGGCAAUCAGAAAAUAAAGAAUUUAGAGUAAAAUGGGGUCAACUGACGCGCCCAUGGGCGAGUGUAGUCACGUCCAGUGACAGGUCAGCAACUGGGGGUAAUAAAUUCGGUAAAAAUAAGUUUAGG
rnacentral:lncRNA from 1 species